rnacentral:lncRNA from 1 species
AUCUUUCUGAAGCUUUCCUCCGUGCAAACAUUUCUCUCUCUUUCUUUCUCUUUCAAGAUCUUCAAGGGGAACGGAGCCAUACUCAAAGUAUUGUUCUGCCACUUGUUUCCCGCAUGCAUCGGAUACCUUUCCACACAACACAAAGAUCCACUCUGCAUAUCUUUGGGAGGAAUUACAAACAACACUGCCAUGUACACCCCACUGACACAUGUACUUUUUGCACAGUUGAGAGAACAUACCCUCAGGAUAAAUUCUUCAC